rnacentral:rRNA from 1 species
CCUACGGGGGGCAGCAGUGGGGAAUUGUUCACAAUGGGCGCAAGCCUGAUGACGCAACGCCGCGUGGAGGAUGAAGGUCUUCGGAUUGUAAACUCCUGUUGCCCGGGACGCGGUACCGGGUGAGGAAGCCCCGGCUAACUCUGUGCCAGCAGCCGCGGUAAUACAGAGGGGGCAAGCGUUGUUCGGAAUUACUGGGCGUAAAGGGCGCGUAGGCGGCCUGCUAAGUCGAACGUGAAAUCCCUGGGCUCAACCCAGGAACUGCGUCCGAUACUGGUUGGCUUGAAUCCGGGAGAGGGAUGUGGAAUUCCAGGUGUAGCGGUGAAAUGCGUAGAUAUCUGGAGGAACACCGGUGGCGAAGGCGGCAUCCUGGACCGGAUUGACGCUGAGGCGCGAAAGCCAGGGGAGCAAACGGGAUUAGAUACCCUUGUAGUC